rnacentral:rRNA from 1 species
GACGGACCACACGAACGUUAUUCGGAAUUACUGGGCUUAAAGGGUGCGUAGGCUGUGCAGAAAGUUGGGUGUGAAAUCCCUCGGCUCAACCGAGGAACUGCGCCCAAAACUACUGUGCUCGAGAAAGAUAGAGGUAAGCGGAACUUAGGGUGGAGCGGUGAAAUGCGUUGAUAUCCUAAGGAACACCGGUGGCGAAAGCGGCUUACUGGGUCUUUUCUGACGCUGAGGCACGAAAGCUAGGGUAGCGAACGGG